UACGAAGGGUGCAAACGUUGCUCGGAAUUAUUGGGCGUAAAGCGCACGUAGGCGGCUUUGCAAGUCCCAUGUGAAAUCCCACGGCUCAACCGUGGAAGUGCAUGGGAAACUGCAAGGCUUGAGUCCGGGAGAGGGGGGUGGAAUUCCCAGUGUAGCGGUGAAAUGCGUAGAUAUUGGGAGGAACACCGGUGGCGAAGGCGGCCCCCUGGACCGGUACUGACGCUGAGGCGCGAAAGCGUGGGUAGCAAACGGG
rnacentral:rRNA from 1 species